UUUCCGUAGGUGAACCUGCGGAAGGAUCAUUAAAGAGAAUAUGCCCUUCGGGGUAGAUCUCCCACCCUUUGUUUAUAUUACCUUUGUUGCUUUGGCAGGCCCGUCUCCGGACCACCGGCUUCGGCUGGUCAGUGCUUGCCAGAGGACCCAAAACUCUUAUUAUUAAUGUCGUCUGAGUACUAUAUAAUAGUUAAAACUUUCAACAACGGAUCUCUUGGUUCUGGCAACGAUGAAGAACGCAGC
rnacentral:misc_RNA from 1 species